CUCGCCAUUCCCGUAGAGAUGGUUUUCAACCGCACCCUCGCUCUUUCUCUCUCUACUCCAUCUCCAUCUCCAUCUCCAUCUCCCUAUCUCUUUCUUCCGAUUUCUUCUACUUUUAAAAACCUUCUCCCCUCUUCGUUCUCUCCUCCGUCUCUCGCCGUCGCCUCCAUCGAAAACCGCGACGGAGGAGAUCGUAGUCGCCACCAUUGUUCAAGUUCGUUGAAAAGACGACCUCCACAUCGGAGCCACCGACGCAACGGAGUAUCCUGCAGUUCCAAUUCACCCUCCUCGAAAUGCAAAGACUUGAGAAUGCGUAAUUCAAUAAGGGCACAGGGUUUACAGGCGUAUCAAAAGCUCCUUGACAAUUUGAGCAAAUCUCUAUGAGUGUUUUUUUUUCAAUAUUUGUUGGGUUUUUUAAAUUUAUUUUGCUUGAUUUCUGUAAUUUAAAAUGGAUACUUUCUAUGUUUUACAGUGAGCAACCAGUUGUAGGUUUCAAUCAAGUGGCAAAUCAUGCUCAUCAGUUUAAGGGGAGUAGUUCUAGGUGAUGCAAUUGUACAAAAUGGGGCAACAAGCAUGGUUGGGCAGUGCGUCAUUCAGCUUGCACGAAUUCAUGGUGUCCAUAGCAUUAACAUCAUUAGAGACAGGUGCGAGUCACAAAAUCAAAUCUGAGCUGUAACGAUGAAGGUUAUCAAAUUGUUAAACAAUAUGAGCUUUUACUUUGGUUUGAAUUUCACUAGGUAUUCCAUUAAUGGGGCUUUUCCAGUGUCUUACUCAUACGUCUACUUCAUUUCUUAUAUUUGUUUGUUUAUUAUAAAAAUCUGAAAUUUAUAAGGAACUUGCCUGAACCAGCAUUGGGUUUUAGUUGCGUUGGUGGCAAUGCUGCUUCUUUGGUGCUCAAAUUUUUAAGGUAGCGACAUUCAAGUUGUCAUUUUUUAACUUGCUUUGCUUUGUCAAGUUGUCAAGUUGACAUUCAAGUUGUCAUUUUUUAAUGCGAGAAAAUGUGUGUUAUUGCGUUUAUAAUAUUGGGAUUCUGAAAGGGAAUAUUGGAAAAUAAAAUAAAAAGCAAAAUUACGUUAUCAUAUUUAAGCAUAAAUAAACAUGUAAAAAAAAUCGUUCAUAUAGUCUAUCUUGAUUGGAGAAAGUUUUGGGAAAAUAAGAUUAUUUUAAAUAAACUUGAACAUAAAAUUCCAUAUUUGUUUUUCCAUUGGUGUAUACUUUUGGAUGGAUAUCAUUUGAUGGAUAUUAGUAAAUUCAUAAUUUGCUUUGAAUUUGUGUUACCUAAAUUAAGGUUAGGUUCUCAAGAUGACUAAAUUUACUGAUAUUACCAAUGUUGUAUUCUGUCUUACAGAUGCAUACCCUUUUGAACCACCCAGGAUGAAAUUCCUGACUAAAGUUUUGUAAGGCAUAUUUGAUUACCUUUCCAUUUGUUGUUCAUUCCACAUUGUAUCUCAUAUAAGAGGCAUACUUCUGCCUAUCAUCUUGGGUAAAGUGCUAAGAAGAGUACAACUGCGUAAAUGGAGGCAUAUGUCAGAAGUAAGGUCUUAUUGAAUAGUACUCCAGUUAUAAUCUGGGGCUGGUUUACAAAAAGUCAAUGUUCAGAUUUUAAUUUCUUAUUGGUUAUAGCUGUAUCUGUGUAAGUUGUGCUGGAUCUGCUGCUUAAUUUUACGAGAGAAAAUCACAUUGGGAAAAAAUUGGUUCAAAUUAGGUCUUCCAGGUUCAUUUUUCAACAGGAAUAAGUUCAUAGAACUUCAUACAUAGGCAGGGAGCUCUGCAGUCUCAUUUAAGAAACGGCUUUGUGGGUGUUUUUGCAUCUGUAUGCAUAAUUUUGUUUUUAAUUGAGAGACUUAACCCUUUCCUAUUAUCAGCUGGCUUAUUUAUAACUAUGUAGUUUCUGCUUUUGUAUUUUCUCUAGGAAGCUUCACUAUUUUCAUAAGCAUUGCAGAAUCCUUAAGCAGCUUUUAGCCUCUCUGUAUGAUUGUACCUGUGUUUUUUCUUUUUUCGUCAAUGAGACUUCAUAUUAGGUUCAAAUCAAAUGUAUCUUGCUAUAUGGUGUCUUCUUUCUGAUUGUGACAAUCUAAACCAACAGUAUAGUAUGAGCUUGAAUAGCUACAAUUUAUUUUUUUGUAAAAGAAAUUGGUUCAUAGAAGUUCACUUGACUAAAGUUUUCGCUCUGGCGGUCUAAGUUCUGUUGGUGAUCCUCUUCGCUCUUAAUACCACAUACCUUCUUCCAAUACCGACGGUUGUUCUUUGGCGGUUGGUAUGUCCACCUGUUCUUUGGUGGUUGGUUGUUCUUUAAUAGUUCAUCAAUGUCGAACUCUUUUUUGUUUUCAGUAGUUAGUUGUUGAUUAGUAUAAGACUACUCUUUUUAGUUGUUGUUUUCAGCUGUUCUUUGGUGGUUGGUAUGUCCACCUUUUCAUUGGUGAUUAGUUGUCUAAUGGGAGUUCUGUUGGUUCCUUGAAAUGUGCAUUUUCUCACUAAGCUCUUCAAAUGCUGCCACCAAAUUUACAAGCCUUGCAACAAAAUCCACUAAAAGAGAAGCAAAAGUUGCUGAAUUGAAAGACGUGAAGGCCAUUGAGUCCUGCUAGCCAUCAGUAGAAAACAUACCUUGCAUUGAAGCUCCAGCACCAAUCAUAGAAAUUCUUGAACCUGUCAUAUCAAUAGAUGAAUGCAUAUGUUCAGGAUCCAUGCUAAGUACACUAAGGGAGUUUCUCACAAGCUGACUGCCUCCACAAUCUUUCAUUUUGGCAACAUGCUCCGGAUCAUCAAAUUCCUUGGGUCUUUUUUCUUCUUCCCAUCUCUCAAAAUUUACAGGAGAUAAGACUUUUCAUCUAUCCUAAUCUGUAGUUGUUUUUCUGUUGCAUAAAAUUUCUAGGUUUUGUGUAAUUGCUGAUUAAAUUUUGUUUUUUUACCAAAGCAAAAAAGUGGAAACCGGGUGUUGGAUUUAGUGUCAGAAACCUCCUAAAGGUGAGGUCUUUAGCUGGUUUUUUGGAUAAUUAAUACUUAAUAUUGUUGCUUUUGGAUAAUUAAUGCUUAAUUACAACUUUUAAAAUUCUUGGUUUUGUGUGUUUGAGCAGAAAAGUUGUUUUUCUUUGAUUUUUUUAGAAAAUUUCCAAAUCAAUUUUGUAGGAUUUAGUAUAUUACCAGCCUUAUAUGCUAAAUAUAGGUUGAUACAAGAAUUAGAAUCUCAGUAAUUAAGUCUGAUAUGCAACGUCUCUUAUGCAAUACCUUCUUAUUAUGAUAUUAUGAGAUUAUCAAUAAAUAGGUACGAUUAAGCUUUUGGCAUAUGUGGAUUCUUUAUAUAAAAGUUAAACCCUGUAUAAGGUAGUUUUCUAUUUAGAAUGUUUUCAUUUGGCUUGAUUAUUGCAGGUACAUAGGAUUUGAUGAAUAUAAAGGAAUUGAAGUGGCUUGGAAACAAACUAUUUUAUAUGUUUAGUUACUUUGGUAUUAAGUUUUGAUUAUUAAUCAUGUAAGCACAUGAAUAAAUUGUGUUACGGAGUAUGAUUUAGAUUUUUUUAAAUAGGGACGAUUAAUUUUUCUUUAGUUGAAUUUUGCGAACA